UACGUAGGGUCCGAGCGUUGUCCGGAAUUACUGGGCGUAAAGAGCUCGUAGGUGGUUUGUCGCGUUGUUCGUGAAAACUCACAGCUCAACUGUGGGCGUGCGGGCGAUACGGGCAGACUAGAGUACUGCAGGGGAGACUGGAAUUCCUGGUGUAGCGGUGGAAUGCGCAGAUAUCAGGAGGAACACCGGUGGCGAAGGCGGUUCUCUGGGAAUAUCCUGACGCUGAGGAGCGAAAGUGUGGGGAGCGAACAGG
rnacentral:rRNA from 1 species